UACGUAGGGUGCAAGCGUUGUCCGGAAUUAUUGGGCGUAAAGAGCUCGUAGGCGGUCUGUCGCGUCUGCUGUGAAAACUCGGGGCUUAACCCCGGGCCUGCAGUGGGUACGGGCAGACUAGAGUGCGGUAGGGGAGACUGGAAUUCCUGGUGUAGCGGUGAAAUGCGCAGAUAUCAGGAGGAACACCGGUGGCGAAGGCGGUUCUCUGGGCCUGUACUGACGCUGAGGAGCGAAAGCUAGGGGAGCAAACAGG
rnacentral:rRNA from 1 species